UGACCUUCAAGUGCAGGUUUCAGAA
rnacentral:piRNA from 1 species